UAACCGACGUUUUUACUGCAUUUUUCUACAGGACGGUGGCCCAAACUCAAAAUUCGUUACUUAUAAUACGUUGUCCUGGUCAAGAAAAUAUCAAGUACGUACAAGUAUUAUAAAAUUGUCGUGUUGACUAUCGGACGGGCGAUCAGCGGUGCAUUUCGGAAUCGUCCGUGUCUUAUUCCGUCUUGUGCAUGCGUAUUAUACUCGUGU